rfam:Salmo salar isolate Sally breed double haploid chromosome ssa14, whole genome shotgun sequence.
UUCUAUUUGAGACGUAAGUCGCUCUGGAUAAGAGCGUCUGCUAAAUGACGUAAA